GGAGUCUCUUCAGGGCGCACGGGGUCCUCGGAGGGAUGAGCACUUUCAGCCUCCGCACGGUGAGCCUGGAGCUGGCUAGGUGCCUCAUCGAAUCCUCCCCAAAACCCAAUGAGGGAUCACAGGGUGCCCACCUCGUGCAUGAUCUGCUGUCCUGAACACCGUGUGCCAGAGCGGAGUGAAAAUCCCAGCCACACUCUUCCCAUAAAGGAUGAGGAAACAGAGGCACAGAGAGCUUAAGCAAAUUGCCUGAGGUCACACAGCAGAGCUGGAUUUGAUGCGGGGAAGUGACUCCAGAGCUCGCCGUUGCCCAGUCGGCUCUGCCACCUCGGGCCUCAAGAGGAGAGGAGAAUGUCUUUCUGGGAGUAAUGUGGAGAUUUCUCUGGGAGGCAAGAGGAUGGCGUGGGACUCACAGGUCUGGAGUGUGGAGUCCUGGGGCCGACGCCUUGGGCUGAGAACACCAGGCUCGGGUGGGAGGAUGUGGUGGCCGAGGGCGCUGACUGUCCCCAGGCGACCAGGGUAGAGCCAAUUCUGCCAUCCCCCACCCCCGCUCAGGGUGGGGAUUGUGUCCUUUGCUGCACCCUCCCACCCCCAGCCAGCAGCCCAGCCCCCAGCCUCCUGAACCCACGAGACCCCCCCAAGAUAGACUGGAGGGAAAGCCCAACUUCAUCAGUGGAGUCAGGUGAAAUCCGCUUGUAAAUAAGUCAAUCAGAAACCAAAAGGUUGCGUCCCAGCAUGACCGGGAACUGUCACCGUCAGCGGCGUGGAAAUGAUGGAGACGAGAGGGACAGUGCCUGUCAAGAGAUGAGCAAGGGGCAUCGAAAGCAGGAAGGAAGAUGUCACCCAUGGGCACCAGAUGCCGCUGGGGGAGCAGCUGAGGACAACCAUGGACACAGUCAGAGUAACUCUUGCUAACAUGUGCAUGCGGUGUCCUGCCUGUUUCUCCGGGCCAAGGGGCUGUCGGUGAGCUCCUGAGGCCUGGUUCCCAGGCAGAUCGGAGGAUGGUCUGGGGUCUUGG
rnacentral:lncRNA from 1 species